GAGGGUAUAGCUCAGUGGUAGAGUGCUUGCUUAGCAUGCACGAGGUUCUGGGUUCAAUCCCCGGUAACUUCA
rnacentral:tRNA from 1 species